rnacentral:lncRNA from 1 species
UCGUGCCAGCUUCUGCUCAGGUCCGGGGCUUUCAGCCAGACUGCGCCCCAGGGUAGGGCCAGUUGGUUCCCUGGAGGUUGUGAGUGGAGCCUGGGGGUUAACAUGGACUGGCAGGUGCCCAGGGCUUGCACACAUUUUAUCCUGUCCUUCCAGGCUAUAUCCCACCCCCUUCCUCUUUGAUGACUUAUGACAACUCAUGAGGUAGCUCCUGCCAUCCAGAUUCUUUUAUUUUCCUCUGUGGGCUUUCUGUCCUCUGCCCAUCUUCCUACUGGUCUUUACCACUGUGGAUUUCCUAAGCAUGACUUCCUAUACCCACUCCGUCUGGAAUUUAAUAACAUCUUUUCUUUCCUUUAAGUUACAUGUGCCCAACAUUUCUGUCCUCUACUCCAGCCUCUCCUGAGUGGUCUUGAAACCCUAGGAAGCUGCCCUGGACGGGGCCAGAAGAGACACCUGAGCUCUGGGCAAACAAUCCAGAGGCCAGCGAGAGGCCCUUGGCAUGGCCGGUGAGGAGUGCUCAGUUUCCUGCUCACUGAACUGGGGAAGUGAGAAGGAGACAAAACCAUAGACUCAUCCUCUUAUCACUGCUUCAUUUCCAAAGCCUAGAUGUUAUUUUUAGGAAGCUGGGCCUUUAAUGCCACUUGAAAAUAUCUUACUAAUCCUUCAAGAAAUCCUGAUCUCCAUUUUCUUCUUCCAAGCCUAAGUUCUCCUUCUGUCUGCACUCUUACUGUCUUGGCUCCAAUCUGCUCCAAGAUCUUAACACAUCCGUUUUUCGUCUCUUUCUCUACCAUCUCCAUGUCCAGGCACCCUUUUCCUUGACCUAAUUAAAUAGUCCAAUGUUUUCCUAGAAACCAGCCCUCUUCAAUCUUGCUUCUCCCUUAACCUGCCA